GACGAACGCUGGCGGCGUGCUUAACACAUGCCAGUCGAACGGAAAGGCCCUGCUCUUGUUGGGUGCUCGUGUGGCGAACGGGUGUGUAACACGUGAGUAACCUGCCCUUGACUUUGGGAUAACUCCAGGAAACUGGGGCUAAUACCGGAUAGGAGCUCCUGCUGCAUGGUGGGGGUUGGAAAGUUUCGGCGGUGGGGGAUGGACUCGCGGCUUAUCAGCUUGUUGGUGGGGUAGUGGCUUACCAAGGCUUUGACGGGUAGCCGGCCUGAGAGGGUGACCGGCCCCAUUGGGCCUGCGGUAGGGACCAGAGGCGUACGUGGGGCAGCAGUGGGGAAUAUUGCCCAAUGGGCGGAAGCCUGAGGCAGCGACGCCGCGUGCGGGAUGACGGCCUUCGGGUUGUAAACCGCAUUCGCCUGUGACGAAGCGUGAGUGACGGUAAUGGGUAAAGAAGCACCGGCUAACUACGUG
rnacentral:rRNA from 1 species